ACAGCAGACCACUCUCUUGAGAAUAUGCUUCACAUCUUGUAUGGUUCUUAUCCUUCUCAAGCACAAACACUUCUGCUUUUCCUGCAUUUAUUCUCAUUUACUACUACUUGUAUGUCUCUUUAAACCAUAUGACAUAUUUUCAGACCUUGUUCGUUGUCAAAAAGAAAACAAUAUCAUUGGUGUACAGCAGACCACUCUCUUGAGAAAUCUAGAGAUAGAGGGCUUGAAUUUGAACAGUUUCCAAAUGGAACUUUAACAAACAUCUGCAAAGCUGUCUGUUCAACAGUUUUUAGAAAGAUUUCAAUGUUCGUAUCAAACAGUUUGCUGUAGUGCACAAUGUAAAAUGAGUGUUUGUUGUUAUUCUUUGCCC
rnacentral:lncRNA from 1 species